GAAGUAUCAUUGGUUUGGCCAAAACCUUUCUCAUUUGGUUUGGCUCUGUUUGCAGAAUGAUCUCUCUGUUUCUUUCUCUAGCAUUUCUUCCUGACAACAAUCGGUACGUUCUCUGAUACUCAUAUGACUCUUAUGGGAUACUUCUAUGUUCCCUUAUUGUUUGGCUGCCGAGAAAACUGAAGAAACUAUAACCAAAUGAAAUUAAAGUUUUCUGAAAUUUUUAUCUUACGAUUUUUUUUUUUUUUUUUGCCUCACUUCGAAAUGAGGAAAAGCCCAUAUUAGCAAUGUCAAUUCAAUUUUUUGUGUUUCAGUAAGUUUGGCUUUUUGUUUCCUCGCAGAAUAACAGAAAAUUUGUUUCUACAAUACCUAACUAAUUUCUUUAGUUUUCUCUGCGGCCGAACGUAGGAUUUGGGUUUUUGGUGAAGGGAUUCCUUUGCAGUUUUUAAUAAAACUUUCGUUUAAUAAUUUCUACGUUGUUCAGGGUAUAACUCUGUUUUCCUUUUUAGAUUAUUGCUUUCGUGUGGAAGCGCAGGAAGCAGAAAUGGGAAUGAGAAACAUCACUUUUUGAGAUUGUUAUGCCCUUUCCAAUAUUUGAGAUUGGUUGGGAUAAUGCAAAAGUAGAUAAUAUUUUAGUUUUCGUUGUUGUUCGAAAUUUAUGCAAAUUAAAAACUGAUGGUUCUUUGUGUGAUUUUGGUGGUUGCAUGAUCAUAUGAUCCAUUGAAUUAUGAGCUUUCAGUGGAUUAUGGUAUUCAGUUAUCUCAAAAGGUUUUGUGGGUUUUCCUAUCCUGUUGUGAAAGUUUGAGUUUUUUAUAUUAGAGUGUCUAAUUUUGUGUAAACAUUUUGGUUUAUCGGUAUUGGACGGUUGGAGGGCGAGUUAAAGAGACUAUUCAUGUAAUGGAUCAUAGUUAUUCCGAGGAAAGUGAUUCAAUUGUUGAUUUGGAAAGUGGCGAGACCACAAGCGAAGAAGAUGGAAUUGAAGACUUGGAUGUGGGUGGUAAGCAUGCAAAGAAAAUGUUGAGUAGGCUGAGGAGUGGAUGUAUUAGUUUUGAUGGAUCAGUGGGGGAUAUUGAUGGAUUAGAUCCAACGAAGACUGUAUUACAGCCUGAUGAGAAUUUGGAGAUAUUGGAAGGUGAGGUGGAAGGAAAGGCAGCGGGUAUGGUGAAGAUGAAAAUGGCAAGUGAGAAAAGGAAAAAGGCGAGCUCUAAGAAGCCUCCCAAGCCACCCCGUCCUCCUACUGGUCCGUUAUUGGAUGCAGCAGAUAUGAAGUUGGUCAGAGAAAUUUCUGAGCUUGCAAGAUUGAGGCGUGCAAGGAUUGAACGAAGGAAGGAAGUGAAGAAAAUGAGAGCAGAUAAAGCAUCAUCUUCAAAUGGUAACCUUGUUGCAUUGAUCAUCACCAUGCUCUUCUUCUUUGUGAUAAUCUUCCAGGGUAUAUUGGGCUUUCGAAUGUGAUGCCUCAAGAUGUGGUCGUCUUCAGAUUUCACCAAGUAGAUUCCUGAGUUUGCUUUAGAAGUGUUCAAGUAUUAGUCUCCACAUAUCCAGAAUCCGCAAUGAUAGUAGUUGGUGGUGAGAUUCAAGUUGAAUAGUUUAACACCCUUCUGCUAGGGGGGGGACCAAUGGACCUGAUUCUUGGAUCCCCAAGAUCUGAUGAAACUCAGGAUCUUGAUUUGUCCAUGUGUGGCAAAGUUAUCAAUCUUUGGUUUCACGGAAUAUAGCCAGUUUGGUCACAGUUAAUGUUAUCAUUCCCAUGGGGCACAAAGCACAUAGAGCUGGAUUCACAAGGACUCUGGUGCAGGCUCGCGGCUUCAUUUUAUGGUGAAUAUGGCUGUUCAAAGUUCUAUUGUCCUGUGGCCAGACAUGGAGGAAAGAGGAACUUUUUCCCCCAUUGUCCCCUCUGAUAAGAGAAUGUAAUAUCAGCAGAAACUAUUAUGAUGACAUUUCUUUUACAUACAAAAAAUAUCAUCAAAAACUAUAUCAUGUAUAGAUGAUAUGAAUUUUGUUGUGAACUUCAAUUUAUUUUUCUUCCAUUGUCCACAAUGAUAAGAGAAUGUAAUAGCAUCAUUAUAUGAUUUAUGCAUAAAGCAUGUGGCAUGUGGCUUU